AGAACGUGAAAUCGUUGAAGUGGAACCGGAGAGAGUUGACGUAGUAUGGUGGAUAAGUAUUGCAAGAAUCGCUUCAAACAAUGAAUGUGAUCGAGUAAUAUGUACGUCACCAAAGACUGCGCUGACAGCAUCGACUACACGCUCUGAACUGUGUUGACAUGUUGCCUAUUCUAGUAUAUAGAAUGGUGUCUUGUGUUACGUGGUGAAGUUUGUUGUUAUGUUGUUGAUGUUGAUAAUUAUGAUUAUACACCAAGUAUAAUUAUGUCAGUGUAAAAGUCAACCACCUCUCCGACCCGUCUUGAAACACGGACCGAGGAGUGUAACUUGUACGCGAGUCAUUGGGUGGAAAAACCUUAAGGCGAAACGAAAGUGAAGGCACGGUUAACCGGCUGACAUGGGAAACGUGCGGUAUUGUUAGCGAGACGUUACACCAUGGCCCUGUCUUGUCUGCAUGCAGAUGGGCAGCGGUAGAGCGUACAGGUUGCGACCCGAAAGAUGGUGAACUAUGCCUGAGCAGGACGAAGUCAGAGGAAACUCUGGUGGAAGUCCGUAUCGGUUCUGACGUGCAAAUCGAUCGAUAGACUUGGG
rnacentral:rRNA from 1 species